GAGGACCGGUUCAGUAAUGUUGUCUGGUGAUGUCAGCCUGGACAGGAGGUAUUCAGGAGAGGACCGGUUCAGUAAUGUUGUCUGGUGAUGUCAGCCUGGACAGGAGGUAUUCAGGAGAGGACCGGUUCAGUAAUGUUGUCUGGUGAUGUCAGCCUGGACAACAGGUAUUCAGGAGAGGACCGGUUCAGUAAUGUUGUCUGGUGAUGUCAGCCUGGACAGGAGGUAUUCAGGAGAGGACCGGUUCAGUAAUGUUGUCUGGUGAUGUCAGCCUGGACAACAGGUAUUCAGGAGAGGACCGGUUCAGUAAUGUUGUCUGGUGAUGUCAGCCUGGACAACAGGUAUUCAGGAGAGGACCGGUUCAGUAAUGUUGUCUGGUGAUGUCAGCCUGGACAGGAGGUAUUCAGGAGAGGACCGGUUCAGUAAUGUUGUCUGGUGAUGUCAGCCUGGACAGGAGGUAUUCAGGAGAGGACCGGUUCAGUAAUGUUGUCUGGUGAUGUCAGCCUGGACAGGAGGUAUUCAGGAGAGGACCGGUUCAGUAAUGUUGUCUGGUGAUGUCAGCCUGGACAGGAGGUAUUCAGGAGAGGACCGGUUCAGUAAUGUUGUCUGGUGAUGUCAGCCUGGACAGGAGGUAUUCAGGAGAGGACCGGUUCAGUAAUGUUGUCUGGUGAUGUCAGCCUGGACAGGAGGUAUUCAGGAGAGGACCGGUUCAGUAAUGUUGUCUGGUGAUGUCAGCCUGGACAGGAGGUAUUCAGGAGAGGACCGGUUCAGUAAUGUUGUCUGGUGAUGUCAGCCUGGACAGGAGGUAUUCAGGAGAGGACCGGUUCAGUAAUGUUGUCUGGUGAUGUCAGCCUGGACAGGAGGUAUUCAGGAGAGGACCGGUUCAGUAAUGUUGUCUGGUGAUGUCAGCCUGGACAGGAGGUAUUCAGGAGAGGACCGGUUCAGUAAUGUUGUCUGGUGAUGUCAGCCUGGACAGGAGGUAUUCAGGAGAGGACCGGUUCAGUAAUGUUGUCUGGUGAUGUCAGCCUGGACAGGAGGUAUUCAGGAGAGGACCGGUUCAGUAAUGUUGUCUGGUGAUGUCAGCCUGGACAGGAGGUAUUCAGGAGAGGACCGGUUCAGUAAUGUUGUCUGGUGAUGUCAGCCUGGACAUCAGGUAUUCAGGAGAGGACCGGUUCAGUAAUGUUGUCUGGUGAUGUCAGCCUGGACAGGAGGUAUUCAGGAGAGGACCGGUUCAGUAAUGUUGUCUGGUGAUGUCAGCCUGGACAACAGGUAUUCAGGAGAGGACCGGUUCAGUAAUGUUGUCUGGUGAUGUCAGCCUGGACAACAGGUAUUCAGGAGAGGACCGGUUCAGUAAUGUUGUCUGGUGAUGUCAGCCUGGACAGGAGGUAUUCAGGAGAGGACCGGUUCAGUAAUGUUGUCUGGUGAUGUCAGCCUGGACAGGAGGUAUUCAGGAGAGGACCGGUUCAGUAAUGUUGUCUGGUGAUGUCAGCCUGGACAACAGGUAUUCAGGAGAGGACCGGUUCAGUAAUGUUGUCUGGUGAUGUCAGCCUGGACAACAGGUAUUCAGGAGAGGACCGGUUCAGUAAUGUUGUCUGGUGAUGUCAGCCUGGACAGGAGGUAUUCAGGAGAGGAUACUAGUCACUAGCUAGUUAAACCAAUGUCUCCAGAUACUAGUUCAGUCACUAGCUAGUUAAACCAAUGUCUCCAGAUACUAGUUCAGUCACUAGCUAGCUAAACCAAUGUCUCCAGAUACUAGUUCAGUCACUAGCUAGUUAAACCAAUGUCUCUAGAUACUAGUCCAGUCACUAGCUAGUUAAACCAAUGUCUCUAGAUACUAGUCCAGUCACUAACUAGCUAGUUAAACCAAUGUCUCCAGAUACUAGUUCAGUCACUAGCUAGUUAAACCAAUGUCUCCAGAUACUAGUUCAGUCACUAGCUAGUUAAACCAAUGUCUC